GACGAACCGUCCAAACGUUAUUCGGUAUCACUGGGCUUAAAGCGUGCGUAGGCGGUCUGGUAGGUGGGGUGUGAAAUCCCUCGGCUCAACCGAGGAAUUGCGCUCCAAACCCUCAGACUUGAGGAAGACAGGGGUGAGUGGAACUGUUGGUGGAGCGGUGAAAUGCGUUGAUAUCAACAGGAACACCGGUGGCGAAAGCGACUCACUGGGUCUUAUCUGACGCUGAGGCACGAAAGCUAGGGGAGCGAACGGG
rnacentral:misc_RNA from 1 species